AGGGAAGGGACAAUUUUUGUGAAAGACGAUGCGUUUUACACCCAUUCCCCGCCCCCUGCCGUCAUCUGGAGACUCUGCCCUCUGAUGUCACCCGGAGACCCCCCAUUCAGCAUGGAACUGUGGUCGGAGAAUCGUCACAUGGGAAGGAUUUAGUGAAGCUGGAAACAUUCUCUUGUCUUUUUGGAAAUGUUAUUUUCUAGGACGCAGCCUCAUCCAAGCCUUGGGCUCCCAUUCCAUCGGUUCAGAAUUCUCUGCGUUCAGAAUGAGGUCAGAACCAGAAACCGAGGCCGGUCUCUGAGAAAAAUCAGGCAUUAACUCGAAGUAAGUUCUUGCUGAGAAGUUCCCUACCAUGCUGAAUCACCACAUGCUGAAGGUGGCCCUGGAACUGCUUUAUAACAAGUUUUCCAUAGUCUCAGAGUACAAUGAACAAAAUUAGAGUAAAGCAGUAAUGGCCUGCAGCUAUUGCAUUCUUACACAGUAAGACACAAAUUGUGACCAGGUCCUUCCAGCUGUUGACAGAACCAAUCAGACGCCAAGCAUUGCAAGGGCAAGUAGAAAAGAGGUUGACCAUAGAACACACAGCUCUUAUCUCAUCCAGCAAUUUAACAACUGUCAAGACUUCUUAUAAUGAAUGUGAGAGAUGACACACUCC
rnacentral:lncRNA from 1 species